UACGGAGGGGGCUGAGCGUUGUUCGGAAUUACUGGGCGUAAAGCGCGCGUAGGCGGCUUUGUAAGUUAGAGGUGAAAGCCCGGAGCUCAACUCCGGAAUUGCCUUUAAGACUGCAUCGCUAGAAUCAUGGAGAGGUGAGUGGAAUUCCGAGUGUAGAGGUGAAAUUCGUAGAUAUUCGGAAGAACACCAGUGGCGAAGGCGACUCACUGGACAUGUAUUGACGCUGAGGUGCGAAAGCGUGGGGAGCAAACGGGG
rnacentral:rRNA from 1 species